AUUGAACGCUGGCGGCAUGCUUUACACAUGCAAGUCGAACGGACUUAGGUGCUUGCACCUAGGUUAGUGGCGAACGGGUGAGUAAUGCAUCGGAACGUACCGUGUAAUGGGGGAUAACGCAGCGAAAGUUGUGCUAAUACCGCAUACGAUCUACGGAUGAAAGCAGGGGAUCGCAAGACCUUGCGUUAUACGAGCGGCCGAUGUCGGAUUAGCUAGUUGGUAGGGUAAAGGCCUACCAAGGCAACGAUCCGUAGCGGGUCUGAGAGGAUGAUCCGCCACACUGGGACUGAGACACGGCCCAGACUCCUACGGGAGGCAGCAGUGGGGAAUUUUGGACAAUGGGCGCAAGCCUGAUCCAGCCAUGCCGCGUGAGUG
rnacentral:rRNA from 1 species